CCCAUAUCUUCCACAUCUCCUUCCUCACGUAGUGGUCCCUGUGUAGUCUGAGUGUUACUGUCAAUAGGUCCUGAUGCUGUACCGUCAUUCUGUUGAUCUGUUGAAAAAAAUGCACGUAAUUUAAGUUGGCGAAAAAACUUAUUUUUUUUGGGGAUUAACCUCGAAUACCGGCACCUUGUUGUGAUUGAGUGCCAGCACACUUG